CCUACGGGAGGCAGCAGUGGGGAAUAUUGCACAAUGGGGGAAACCCUGAUGCAGCAACGCCGCGUGAGUGAAGAAGUAUUUCGGUAUGUAAAGCUCUAUCAGCAGGGAAGAUAAUGACGGUACCUGACUAAGAAGCUCCGGCUAAAUACGUGCCAGCAGCCGCGGUAAUACGUAUGGAGCAAGCGUUAUCCGGAUUUACUGGGUGUAAAGGGUGCGUAGGUGGCAGUGCAAGUCAGAUGUGAAAGGCCGGGGCUCAACCCCGGAGCUGCAUUUGAAACUGCUCGGCUAGAGUACAGGAGAGGCAGGCGGAAUUCCUAGUGUAGCGGUGAAAUGCGUAGAUAUUAGGAGGAACACCAGUGGCGAAGGCGGCCUGCUGGACUGUUACUGACACUGAGGCACGAAAGCGUGGGGAGCAAACAGGAUUAGAUACCCCAGUAGU
rnacentral:rRNA from 1 species